rnacentral:rRNA from 1 species
UACAGAGGGUGCAAGCGUUGUUCGGAAUUAUUGGGCGUAAAGCGCGUGUAGGCGGCUUAGCAAGUCGGGCGUGAAAGCCCUCGGCUCAACCGAGGAAGUGCACCCGAAACUGCUGAGCUUGAGUGCCGGAGAGGAUGGCGGAAUUCCCCAAGUAGAGGUGAAAUUCGUAGAUAUGGGGAGGAACACCGGUGGCGAAGGCGGCCACCUGGACGGAUACUGACGCUGAGACGCGAAAGCGUGGGUAGCAAACAGG